rnacentral:rRNA from 1 species
UACGGGGGGGGCAAGCGUUGUUCGGAAUUACUGGGCUUAAAGCGUGCGCAGGCGGUUCGUUGUGUCGGUGGUGAAAGCCCCGGGCUUAACCUGGGAAUGGCCAUGGAAACUGGCGAACUGGAGUGUGGCAGAGGGGGGUAGAAUUCCGACGUGUAGCAGUGAAAUGCGUAGAUAGUGUGGAGGAAUACCGAUGGCGAAGGCAGCCCCCUGGGAUAACACUG